rnacentral:rRNA from 1 species
UAUAAUACCACAAUCCGAAUAAACCUCCUGCCUAUUGACUGGAUUAAUCUAUAAUAUAUAUAGAAAUACCCAUGUUAAAACUAGUAAUAAGAAAAAUUCUCACAGCACAAGUAAUCCUAACAGACCAAACAAGUCAGAUACAAUAAAAUUACUAAACCAAAAUGACCUACUGUAGACCCAACCAAGGAGUGCACUAAAGAAGAUUAAAAGCCAUAAAAGGAACUCAGCAAUAAAAAUCUCAACUGUUUACCAAAAACAUUGCCUUUAGCCUAGAGUAUUAAAGGUAACGCCUGCCCAGUGAUAAAUUAAACGGCCGCGGGAUCCUCCACCGUGCAAAGGUAGCAUAAUCACUUGUCCCCUAAAUAGUGACUAGUAUGAAUGGCCAAAUGAAGAUUUUACUGUCUCUUAUAGCCGAUCUAUGAAACUAAUUUAUCAGUACAAAAGCUGAUAUAUUUACAUAAGACGAAAAGACCCUGUGGAACUUUAAGCACAACCCACCACAAUGGCCCACCUGCUUUUAGUUGGGGCAACUUUGGAAAAAAACAAAACUUCCAAUAAAAUUAAAGAUCGACAGAUCUAUAUAAUAUAUACGACCCAACACAUGUUGAUCAAAGAACCAAGCUACCCCAGGGAUAACAGCGCCAUCCCCUCUUAGAGCCCAAAUCGACGAGCGGGGUUUACGACCUCGAUGUUGGAUCAGGGCCCCCAAACAGUGCAACAGCUGUUAAUGGUUUGUUUGUUCAACAAUUAAAGCCCUACGUGAUCUGA